rnacentral:rRNA from 1 species
CCUACGGGAGGCAGCAGUGGGGAAUUUUGGACAAUGGGCGCAAGCCUGAUCCAGCAAUGCCGCGUGAGUGAAGAAGGCCUUCGGGUUGUAAAGCUCUUUUGUCAGGGAAGAAACGGUGAGCUCUAAUACAGUUUGCUAAUGACGGUACCUGAAGAAUAAGCACCGGCUAACUACGUGCCAGCAGCCGCGGUAAUACGUAGGGUGCAAGCGUUAAUCGGAAUUACUGGGCGUAAAGCGUGCGCAGGCGGUUUUGUAAGUCUGUCGUGAAAUCCCCGGGCUCAACCUGGGAAUGGCGAUGGAGACUGCAAGGCUAGAGUUUGGCAGAGGGGGGUAGAAUUCCACGUGUAGCAGUGAAAUGCGUAGAUAUGUGGAGGAACACCGAUGGCGAAGGCAGCCCCCUGGGUCAAAACUGACGCUCAUGCACGAAAGCGUGGGGAGCAAACAGGAUUAGAUACCCUGGUAGUCCACGCCCUAAACGAUGUCUACUAGUUGUCGGGUCUUAAUUGACUUGGUAACGCAGCUAACGCGUGAAGUAGACCGCCUGGGGAAUACGGUCGCAAGNUUAAAACUUAAAGGAAAUUGACCGGNGUGAGAGAGCGAGACGACGACGAGGGAGGAGG